UGGCAAUCCGAGCCAAAACCCGCGGUUUGGCCCGUCCCGUCCCGUGAAAACUCGUGCCCGUCCCGGAUCGUAACUACACAAGACGGGCGCGGGUUGUAUAAUUAGUGGCUUGUGAAGAAACGGGUUAACCCGUCCCGUCCCGUGCAACCCGCGGGUAACCCGGCUCGGUCCGCACCCACUGCCACUUAGGCUGCUGCGUGUCACACAAUGACACAGUUAUCUGUUACGUGUCAUGUAACAUGUUCGUUCCUCUUCAUAUAAAAGGAAAAAACCCUAGCUCGCCUUCCUCUUUUUUUCUUCUUCCCUGACCCUGCUGCAGCGCUGCUGAGUCUCCUACUCUCCUGAGUAAACUUCACAGAUUCACAGAAGUGACAGAAAAAUUAUUAGAUUCAUCUAAAGAUCAAAGACAGUCUUGAAGAGAAAUACAAGAGCGGAUUGAUUUUCUGGGCUCGUGAAGAUCGGAGGAAUACAACAACGAAUUGAUUUUCUGGGUUCGUGAAGAGUGAAUUGAUUUUCUGUUCGAUUAAUAAUAUAUUGGAGUUCUAGUGAAAUCUUUAAAUUUUGGUUUGAGCAGUUUGGAUAAGUGGUUGUCCCCUAAAUCUGAUGUCAAGUGUACAAGAGCAAGAGUUACCAGAACCAGACCAUUUCAAGGAUGUUAUGAGUGCUGAUGAUGAAGAUGAUGAUGUUGAGAUGUUAUGAAUGUAUGAUACUAUGAUAGUAUCUGUGUGACUGUGACUGUGUCUGUGUUUCUUUAAGAAGACUAAUUUGUUUAGUUUUGCAA